UAUGGUUGUGUGCCAGCCGCCGCGGUAAUACGUAGGUGGCAAGCGUUGUCCGGAUUUACUGGGUGUAAAGGGCGUGUAGCCGGGAAGGCAAGUCAGAUGUGAAAUCCACGGGCUCAACUCGUGAACUGCAUUUGAAACUGUUUUUCUUGAGUAUCGGAGAGGCAAUCGGAAUUCCUAGUGUAGCGGUGAAAUGCGUAGAUAUUAGGAGGAACACCAGUGGCGAAGGCGGAUUGCUGGACGACAACUGACGGUGAGGCGCGAAAGCGUGGGGAGCAAACAGG
rnacentral:rRNA from 1 species